GGCCCUGUAGCCUAGUCUGGAUAAGGCGACAGCCUUCUAGGUUCUACAAAGAAAGCUGUAGAUCGGGGGUUCGAAUUGGAAAAAAGGUUUAUUGAACUUUGUCCAACGAAAGUCCCCUCAGGGCCG
rnacentral:tRNA from 1 species